AAAUCCCCGGGCUUAACCUGGGAAUUGCAUUCGAAACUGCCAGUCUUGAAUACCUGAGGGGUUAGUGGAAUUCCUGGUGUAGGAGUGAAAUCCGUAGAUAUCAGGAGGAACACCAGAGGCGAAGGCGGCUAACUGGCAGUGUAUUGACGCUGAGGUGCGAAAGCGUGGGUAGCAAACAGGAUUAGAUACCCUGGUAGUCCACGCCGUAAACGAUGGAUACUAGGUGUUUGGGGCGUUAACCCCCUGAGUACUGAAGCUAACGCAUUAAGUAUCCCGCCUGGGGAGUACGGUCGCAAGGCUAAAACUCAAAGGAAUUGACGGGGGCCCGCACAAGCGGUGGAGUAUGUGGUUUAAUUCGAAGCAACGCGCAGAACCUUACCUACCCUUAACAUUCUGCGACAGCUUCAGAGAUGGAGUGUUCUCUUCGGAGACGCAGGGACAGGUGCUGCAUGGCUGUCGUCAGCCCGUGUCGUGAGAUGUUGGGUUAAGUCCCGCAACGAGCGCAACCCUCGCCUUUAGUUGCCAUCAAUUCGGUUGGGCACUCUAGAGGGACUGCCGGUGAUAAGCCGGAGGAAGGUGGGGAUGACGUCAAGUCCUCAUGGCCCUUACGGGCUGGGCUACACACGUGCUACAAUGGCGGCGACAGUGGGAUAAUCCCCAAAAGCCGUCUCAGUUCGGAUUGUCCUCUG
rnacentral:rRNA from 1 species